UCCGGUUUGUCACCGGCAGUCCCGACAGAGUCCCCGCCAGCCUAAAAGGCCGCGCUGGCAACAGUCGGCAAGGGUUGCGCUCGUUGCGGGACUUAACCCAACAUCUCACGACACGAGCUGACGGCAACCAUGCACCACCUGUGCACGGCCCUUACGGACCCACCAUCUCUGGAGGAUUUCCGCACAUGUCAAACCCAGGUAAGGUUCUUCGCGUUGCAUCGAAUUAAUCCGCAUGCUCCGCCGCUUGUGCGGGCCCCCGUCAAUUCCUUUGAGUUUUAGCCUUGCGGCCGUACUCCCCAGGCGGGGCACUUAAUGCGUUAGCUACGGCACGGAACCCGUUGAUAAGGCCCCACACCUAGUGCCCAACGUUUACGGCGUGGACUAC
rnacentral:misc_RNA from 1 species